GCUACACAUGCAGUCGUACGAUGAAGCCGGAGCUUGCUCUGGUGGAUUAGUGGCGAACGGGUGAGUAACACGUGAGUAACCUGCCCUUGACUCUGGAAUAAGCGUUGGAAACGACGUCUAAUACCGGAUACGAGCUUCCGCCGCAUGGUGAGGAGCUGGAAAGAAUUUCGGUCAAGGAUGGACUCGCGGCCUAUCAGGUAGUUGGUGAGGUAAUGGCUCACCAAGCCUACGACGGGUAGCCGGCCUGAGAGGGUGACCGGCCACACUGGAACUGAGACACGGUCCAGACUCCUACGGGAGGCAGCAGUGGGGAAUAUUGCACAAUGGGCGCAAGCCUGAUGCAGCAACGCCGCGUGAGGGACGACGGCCUUCGGGUUGUAAACCUCUUUUAGUAGGGAAGAAGCGAAAGUGACGGUACCUGCAGAAAAAGCACCGGCUAACUACGUGCCAGCAGCCGCGGUAAUACGUAGGGUGCAAGCGUUAUCCGGAAUUAUUGGGCGUAAAGAGCUCGUAGGCGGUUUGUCGCGUCUGCUGUGAAACUGGGGCUCAACCCCCAGC
rnacentral:rRNA from 1 species